GUUCCUGUAGCUCAAUGAACAGCGCGUUGGACUUCUAAUUCAAAGGUUCGAAUCCCAACUGGGAUA